GAAAGCAUGUUUCCAAAGAAAAUAAACAAAUCUAAAAAACAGAAAACAGAAAAAUCCCAACUGUCUGCUCUUCCUUAGUCCAGGAUAUUUUUCUACAAAAUUAUCUGUUUAGAAGAUUCAAUGGCAACUCUGCUUUAGACUAAAGCAAGGUCUGUACACUGUGAUGAUCGGAGUCAUGAGGAACAAGUAACCUCUCAGCUUUCCAAAGAGAAGCUGUAAUGCCUCAUGUUCCUUGCCAAAAGUCACAGUUCAGGAACAGAACACAGCUCACACCUAGGUCUCCAAUAAGGCAGAAGAUGCAUUAAGAGAAAAGCAAACUUUUAAGAAUAAUCACACAAAGAAACAUGGUUCCAACAUAAAAUGAUGGAUAAUAAAGGGCCUGAAAUGUGAAUGCACUAAAAACACACAAAGCAAUCAUGGCCACAUGGCUACUUGUGCAGAAAUAGUCAUAGUGCUGUGUUAGUGUGAGGGCAACAGAAUCCUGCAAAGGCAAGAAAGUUGAGGGAGAAAAAACCAAAAUGGGAGUAGCGCAGAACAUACAGACAAGAAUGCCUGUUCUGACACACCACAGGAGGAUGCAUCCUGGGGGAAGGAAAUGGGAAGAAGGAGUUAAAGAAAAAAAUUCCAUCUCAGGAGAAGGGAAAGGCACUGCUUCCCAAAGCUUUAGCAGAUCUUUCCUUCAUUAAUAUUUACAAAGCUUUUAGAGAUUCUCAGAUGGAGGGCACUGCAGAUAUGACAGGAAUUAUUACAGACCUGAAAAGAUCUAGCAAACAGACUGAGAAGGACUUCAAGUAAAUAAAGGGGGAUGACAUUAGUGAGCACACUGAAACAGGGGUUGCUGCUGGCAUAUGAACCAUCUGGUGCAUGGCAGUCCAUUUCAUUUACUUACUUACCCACUACCGGGCACGCAUGCCCAGUGCACGUCAUUAUGCUUUUGCCACCAAAAUAAUGCUUUUAUUCAGGACCACUACCUUUCUUCUUUGUAUCACUCCACUCUUCAAAACUGCCAUUCGGUAAAGCAGCCUGUGCCUAAGGAAUGCUUGCGUUAGGAAGAGGCUUACAUGUGGAAUGAAGAACUUGGGAUGUUGACAGACACCUUUUGAGAUAUAGUGGUCUUGUUUGCCUUUACUUGAAUUUGGAUAGGAAGCUGUUUUUCAGGGAUGUUAAGCUCCCCACUGCCACCAGGACGUUUAAGUUUUUGUUGGACUAUCAUUUGUGCUGUUGACUUGGGUACUCAGCAAAAGACAGCUUCAGCAUGAUUUUCAGCAAUAAAGCAAAUGUCUCUAAUAGAAUUGUAGAUUUCAGCAUAACUGAGAAACAAAACACAUGGUAGUCACAAGAUGAACACAAAAAAAUACUGACGGGCUAAAUUAAGCACAGGAGACACUAAAUUAAGCACAGAAGAAGGGGUCAGGUGGCUGGUUUACACAGGAUUCUUAAAUUUUCUCAAGGGCAUCAUAUAAAGCAAGAUGAGGCACAAACCCCAGGACUGUCACUGCCUCAGUCUAAAGCACUAGAAAACCAAGUGAAUCUUGGAAGCAGAUAGCAGGAAAGCAUAUUUGCCUUUCCUCAUACACCUGUCUCCUCCAACUUACCAAAAGACCCAGUGGAAAGGGAACACACAGCCAAUGUUAGAAGAGUAAGGGGAGCCCAUCAUUUACUGGAAGACCUAGCAAAGCAUCCACCUGUCCAGGCCUUGGCAGCUAUCGCCUUAGCGGGUGCUUCCCCAGGAGCCGAGCACCUUAUGAACACCUUGCAGCUCCCGGCUGCCCGGGAGCUGAGCAUCUCGGCCCUUUGGCUUCUCCAUCCCUGUCAGGGAAGGAGGGGCCGAGCACAGCUCUGCGCCCAUGCGGGGCACGCUGGAGCUUCGCGGGCACCGCGUUCUCGGGGCACUUGGAGGACGUGGACAGCAGCGAGGGACGGCGGCGUCCGGCGCCCGCGGAGACCGAGCGGCGGCGGGGCGGGGAAGGCGCCCGGGGCUGCGCGCGGGGCCGGGGCCGCUCCGGAGGGAGGCGGCGCAGGUCGGCCGCCCUUGCCGGGCUAGGCGGCACCUCCGGGCCCGCCGGGAAGUUGCCGAUGGAAGCCUCCGGGCAGCUCCUGCCGCCUGCCCCGCCGCGGGCGGGGGCGGCAGCCGCGGCCCGGCUCCCGGCACCUAGCGCGGGGCAGCCGCGGCGCGGCGGGCGGGCGGGCCGAGGGGCGCGGGGCCGGGGAUGCCCCGCGGCGAGACCGAGGCAGCGGACGGCAGAGCGGCCCCGCCACGGACACUGCCGGCCCGCCGGACCGGGCCGGGGCGGCUCCGCCGCGGCGCAGGGUUUCGGUGGUCUCAGACUUGCAGGCUGACGGCUCCAGGAUAAAUCCGACCUCUCCCUGUCCCACUCCACCGCGCCCCGUUGCCGGCCUGAGGAGUUUGUCCGCAGGGAAAGAAAAAGGCACGCACAGCACCGGGAACUAUCAGUCAGCACCUCACCCUCGAGUCAGGCCCUCAGUUUUUGUCCGUCUUACCCACUCUGACAAGUCCUACAACAAACCCCAAAAACGAAGGAGAUAGGGACGCAGUAGCAGAGCCAUUGCUUCAGGUCUCCAGAAAUCUUACACCAAACAGCCUGCUGCUCCCAGAUCUGUCCUGGAAGCCAGCUGUGGGCUUGUGCAUUUUUCAGUUUUAUUUUGAGAUAUCAGAAAGGUUUUUAAGUUGGUUUUUUUUUUCAUUCAGAAGUAGAUAUUUAUUUCACUUUAAUGUAUCAGAAAAUAUUAACUAGCCACAAACAGUCUACUCUAUUCACCAAAGUUAUGUCAUUAUUAAAAUCAAGAGAACAGCAAAGGAACUGAGUAUACAAGGGCAAACCCAGAUAGGGCACAAAAACAGUGCCACGAGUUCUUUUUGUUUGUUAGCACUGGCUAAUGUGGCUAAUAAGUGUUAUUUGUGACAGGUUAUUUCUGCAAAACAAACCUCAAAUUAGAGUGCAAGAUUAUACCUAAUGCAAGUGAAUAUGGUCUUCACAAACCCCAAGAAUUUUGACAUUCUUAAGAUAUCUAAAUUAAUUAAAAACUAGGUCUUCAUUAUUUAUUUUAUGAAAGAAUCUCAGAACCUAUAAGAAAUGUCUUGAAGCCCAACUUUUUCCAUAAACCUUUUUAAUAACCAACUUUUCCCCGAAGACCUGACUCGUUGUUUGCUCUCAUAAGCACUUGAACUAUUAGCCUUUGUGCUGUACAUGAGUGCAGAUACAAGUGUCCUGGAGCAGCAGCCUUGUCGUUCCUAUGUUUGCAAAGUGGUAGGCAUACUCACAGUGCAUUAUAAGUGAAAAAAUUGAGAGGAUGUGCUGGUCCUCCCGAGUGCAAUACCUGAUCCCAUAUGCUGGCAGAAUGGACUGAUGCUCACAUGCUUUCUGUGGAGAAAACAGGAUAUUCGUAGAUAUCACAAUUUUCAAACAUAUGUAAUACACACAUACAGCCUUCAAUGCAUAAUAAGCUUCUGUGAUUUUGAUAACAUUUUGUAUUAAGCUUAUGUAUUCAAAUAUUAGUAAUUUAUUUGACUGUGACAAUAUUUGGAGAUAUGUUGGAGUAAUUACCUGGCUAAUGCAUAUGUGAAGCAGUGCUUUCUUGUUUAGAAUGAGCUGGGAGCCACAGAGGGAAUAAAUCAAGGCGCAGAGUUAAAAGUAGCAUGGACAUGGGGCACUGGAGUCCUAUCCCCAUUAGUAUGCUGAAUUUCUGACUGGUAACUACAUUUCAGCUCUGGACCCUGAGGACAUCCCCGGUGAUGGGGUGAUCAUUUAAUCAAUUUUACUAAGCCUUUUAAACAGCCCUGUAGUUUUUAAUUACAACUUCAUGCCUGCUGAAGAACAGCAGAAUUAUGGCUGUGACUAGAUAGCAAAUAAGGCAUGACAGAUGUUUAAAGGUGUAGUGUGUGAUACCUAAUAGCUAGUGAAACAUAAUAUUUAACAGUAUCUAAAACCAUCAGAAACUUAACAAAUUCUGGUCAAAAGUAGACAAAUUGUAAUUUAGUGUAUGUUGUUCAUCAGAGAAAAGAGCCUGUGAAUUGAUUCAAGGGGUUGUGUGAAUUGAUUGAAUUAAUCUAUGGUAAAGUACAAUCUGUUUUGAGAAGAGCUUUCAGAAGCAUCAGGUGAGAGUGAGCUAACUUUGUUAAAAUGCCCUGUUAAAUUAUAGUGUAGAAAAAGACCAUAUUUCUCUGCUUAGAAAGAGCUCUUUCUUGCUUUCUCUGCCUUACUGUCUUGCUUCUCAUUUUACCUUGCCUCACUUCAGAGAGAUUUCUUCUAAACUUUCUCUUAAAAGUGUAGCAAACCUCCUUUAAACUUGGUUUGUCACAGCCAUAGUCAGUUUGCUGUUUACUUUGCCCUAGGUCACCAGAUGAAAAGGCAAUACUGCCCAGAGGCUCCUUAGCCAUUCUAAUUAUUUCUGAAUAGGACUUCUGCCAGCUAACAUCAGAUGAAAGUACAGUUGAUGAAUGUUCAUCAACAGCAUUGCUCUACUGCAAGAGUUCUGAAGUAUAAACAAGAUGUUAGACUUGUAUACUUCACAUCAUCUAUCAUCAUUUUUCUCUUUUUAUUCCCCUUUCACCUUUCAGAAAUUCAACAGUUAUUUAGCUUUAAGCAACCCCUUGUGCUCCCAAAUCUUUUCUGUAAAACAGUGAAGUUCUCACUCAUCUUCAUCUGAUGAUCUUGUUAACGAGAUACUUCUGCCAUAUCAUUGUGACCCAAGAUUUUCAAGCACAAUUAUUUUUGGUGCCCAAACCACAUGCACAGGAGAAGUCUUCAGGAACAGUUUAAGAAACAUCUGAAAAUCGCUGACCUCAAGUCAGGCACCACGUGUCUCUGGCAGUAAAGAGCAGCACAGCCCAGACUGAAUAUUUUUGGUUGUGAUUUGCUCAGCUGAGUGGGCCUAAACUGUGAUGGUGAGAUAAAAACCAUUCAAAGUUUGUCAGCAAACCGAAGUAUGACAGAAACAGGACCAUACCAUCUGCCUAAAAUUUCAGUAUCUGGACUCUUAUUGCCUUGCAUAUUCCUGGGAAAGAGUACAUAGAAAUGGGUGUGUAUUUCAAAGGUAACUGUUGAAAAGUAUGUUGAGAUUGGGAAAAGGUGUGGGAGGUGUGGGACAAUACAGAUUUGAUACUGAUAGGGAAGGAGAAGUGGAGCUUUCCACUGCAGUGCCUCUGCCAGUAAGGAGGGCUGGAAGAAGAAAAGGGAAGGGCUGUAGAUGGUUUGCACACACUCUCAGCACACACCCCAGGUCAGGAGCUGCACUUGUUUGCUAAUGAAAAACAAUAAAGUUUUGUGGACACUGCAGUGAAGGAGGUAGGUGGAAAUUCAGGUGUGGAAGCAGUGCGUAGAAAAUUCCUUUACAAUUCCCCUCCCGUUGUCAGAAUCAGCCACAUAGCUGAAAAAAGAGCCUGAGGAAUAGUGGGUGCCAGGUCUGGAGUGAAAGGAGGAGGGUGUGGAGUUUUUCUGGAUUCUCUUUUUUUCUCUAGGAAGUGGCAUUUCCUAAGAAACCUGCUGAGACUCAUGCAAAUACAUUAAAGGCACAGAGAAAAAAUGCUGGGUGCAUAGCUGUUUGGUUGUGGUUUUUUUUUUUUUUUUUAAUUGAAUUUUUAACUCAUGUAAGCAUAUAAUGAGAAAAGGGGAGAAACAGACUUUUGGUAUAAGUCCCAUGCUCUGAUCCAUGGAAACAGAUUCUUGUGCUAGUGUGGAUCCAGGCUUACUACCAUAGAAAGACUCAAAGUAUGGUAGAUGUCAAAGUGUAAGGGCAAAUGUUCAGAAGGAGCAUUCUGGUGUCUGAGAAUGACUUCAGAAGAGCUAUUAGCAAGGAAAAUAUAGAUAAACAUGUUUAAAAUACAUGUAAUAUGAUUUUAAAUGUCACUAAGGCCAUGAAAUUUGGGCUUUACUAGUGUAAUAGUCUAAUUACAUAAUUAAUAUUCUUUGUGCAUACUGUUACUGAAAUAUACUUUGAGUAUUGUUUGUCUUACACACCUACAUUUCCUAAUUGUCAAAAAUAUUUUGCACGAUAAUCCAUAAUACUACAGAAAGUACAUUUAGGGAUUUCUAGGAGACUCAAAAACAAUCACAGGAUGUCUGGAAGGUGUGUUUUAUCAUUACUAUAUAAUUAUCUGGUGUUUUCUCUGAUUCUCUUUUUCAGUUAUUUAUUUUUAAAAAUAAAUUAAAAUAUUCUUAAAGAA